UCCCAGACUCCUACGGGAGGCAGCAGUGGGGAAUAUUGCACAAUGGGGGAAACCCUGAUGCAGCGACGCCGCGUGAGCGAUGAAGUAUUUCGGUAUGUAAAGCUCUAUCAGCAGGGAAGAAAAUGACGGUACCUGACUAAGAAGCCCCGGCUAACUACGUGCCAGCAGCCGCGGUAAUACGUAGGGGGCGAGCGUUAUCCGGAUUUACUGGGUGUAAAGGGAGCGUAGACGGCGUCGCAAGUCUGAAGUGAAAGCUCGUGGCUCAACCGCGGAACCGCUUUGGAAACUGUGAGGCUGGAGUGCUGGAGAGGUAAGCGGAAUUCCUGGUGUAGCGGUGAAAUGCGUAGAUAUCAGGAGGAACACCGGUGGCGAAGGCGGCUUACUGGACAGUAACUGACGUUGAGGCUCGAAAGCGUGGGGAGCAAACAGGAUUAGAUACCCCUGUA
rnacentral:rRNA from 1 species